rnacentral:rRNA from 1 species
AGCAGUCGCGGUAAUACAAAGAGGGCUAACGUUAAUCAUAAUGGUUUAAAGGAUUCGCAGAAUGAAUAUAUAUUUAUAUAUUUAGAAUUAAUAAAAUUAAUAAAAGAAUUAUAAUAGUAAAGAUGAAAUAAUAUUGAUAAUUAUAAGACUGAUAUAUGUGAAAAUAUUUAUUAAUUAUUAAUUGACAUUGAGGAAUGAAAGCUAAAGUAGCAAGACGGAUUCGAUACCCGAGUAGUUUUAGCUGUAAACUAUGAAUACCCUAUUAUUUAUUAAAUUAAAUAAUAUAAAUGAAAAUUAAAGUAUUCCACCUGAAGAGUAUAAUCGCAAGAUUGAAACUCAAGACAUUAGACGGUUACAGACUUAAGCAGUGGAACAU